UCAUAAAAGGAGUAGGUCCGGUAAGGACUCAUUUUGGCCUCAAAUUUCAGAUUCAUCUGACGAAAGAUUUUGCCCACUUUUUAAAGACUAUUUCACUUGAUUUAAUUAGUAUAAGUGAAAGAUUUUAACUGAUUUAGUCAUUAAAAACGAUCCGAUUCAAGCUCAAAUAUGAAAAAUCUCUCAAAUAUGCCAAAAAACGUCACUUUUGAGAUGGUUUUUGUCAAAAAUGAAAGUGGCCGCAUCCGUGUUCAUCCACAACCUUUAUAUAUGUUAUGUAUUAUCAUAAAAUACAACUUACAUUUCAAUAUUAAGGAUGAACACGAAUGCGGCCACUUUCGUUUUACAAGGAAACCGUCUAAAAUUUAACUAAAAUGAUAGAAUUUUGAAGAUUUCAGUAAUUUAGCAUGACUUAAUGGUGCUACAACCCGAUAUAUGUGCAUUGUAUUGUCAAAAACAGCCCAUAUUUAUGUAGCAGAAGCAUUCAACUGUCCAAUAAAUAACUAAAAGUUUACAUUUUAACAAUUUUGUAAAGCUGUUAUAUUUUGGGGCCAAAAAGGGGUCUUACCGGACCUACUCCUUUCGAAAAAUUAAGUUUACAUGUUAAUGUUUGAUAAAGCAAUACUUUAAAAGUGUGCAGUGAAUCUUGUGCUCACAACAGUUAUUGUCAUGACUAAUAUGUAUAAAUCGGCAUUUUGAAGAUACCAAGAAGUGUUUUACAUUUCAAUUUAAUGAUCAUGAAGGGAUGGAGAUUGGAUGGAG
rnacentral:lncRNA from 1 species